CACGUAGGGCGCAAGCGUUGUCCGGAAUUAUUGGGCGUAAAGAGCUCGUAGGCGGUCUGUUGCGUCCGCUGUGAAAACUCGGGGCUUAACCCCGAGCCUGCAGUGGAUACGGGCAGACUAGAGGUAGGUAGGGGAGAGCGGAACUCCUGGUGUAGCGGUGGAAUGCGCAGAUAUCAGGAAGAACACCGGUGGCGAAGGCGGCUCUCUGGGCCUGUACUGACGCUGAGGAGCGAAAGCGUGGGGAGCGAACAGG
rnacentral:rRNA from 1 species